CAAAAGUUGUUGGAAUUUAAAAGUUUUACAACUCUUAUUUGGGCAGAAACUUAAGUUUGUAUAAAAAAAAUUCAAGCUUUAAUUCAAACUCCAAAAAGAGCUUCUUAGGUUUAUAAAGGUCAUUUCACUUCUUAACUUAGGGAUUUGAUUUGUCACUAGUUUAUAGUUAAAAGCACUUAAUUUAGGUAGAGUUUUUACAGAAGCGCGACUGAGGGAUGACGGAAAAAGCCGAAAGGCGUUGGGGCGCGGCCGGGGAUCCUUGUGAGGAGAGGUGCGCGGGAGGCGAGGUGGACUAGCGCGGCAGCGGCCACUCUUCGGUCGCAAGGGUGGCAGGCGCCUGGCGCGGCCGGCAAGAUUUCGAGCAAGACGAGACGGGGCGGAGAGUCUGCAGGGCGCUUUUGCGCGUGGUUGGGAAGGGGGCGCACUG
rnacentral:lncRNA from 1 species